AUUGGAGGGCAAGUCUGGUGCCAGCAGCCGCGGUAAUUCCAGCUCCAAUAGCGUAUAUUAAAGUUGUUGCGGUUAAAAAGCUCGUAGUUGGUUCUGCGUGCCGCGCUGUCGGUUCGCCGCCUGUCGGUGUAACUGGCAUGUCGCGGCAUGUCCUGUCGGUGGUGAACGGAGUCCACAAUGCUUCAAAGGCUUCAUAGCUGAUGUUAGCGUUGUGUGCAUUUCCGUUAACCGAUCUCUCCUACUUCGGUGCUCUUAAACGAGUGUCGAGGUAGGCCGACACGUUCACUUUGAACAAAUUAGAGUGCUUAAAGCAGGCUGAAAUAUCUGCCUGAAUAGUGGUGCAUGGAAUGAUAAAACAGGACCUCGGUUCUAUUUUGUUGGUUUUAGGAAUAUGAGGUAAUGAUCAAUGUGGACUGGCGGGGGCAUUCGUAUUGCGACGUUAGAGGUGAAAUUCUUGGAUCGUCGCAAGACGCACUAGAGCGAAAGCAUUUGCCAAGUAUGUCUUAAUUGAUCAAGAACGAAAGUUAGAGGUUCGAAGGCGAUCAGAUACCGCCCUAGUUCUAACCAUAAACGAUGCCAGCCAGCGAUCCGCCGAUGUUCCUUUAAUGACUCGGCGGGGAGCUUCUACCCGGGAAACCAAAGCUUUUGGGUUCCGGGGGAAGUAUGGUUGCAAAGCUGAAACUUAAAGGA
rnacentral:rRNA from 1 species